GACGAACGCUGGCGGCGUGCCUAAUACAUGCAAGUAGAACGCUGAAGAGAGGAGCUUACUCUUCUUGGAUGAGUUGCGAACGGGUGAGUAACGCGUAGGUAACCUGCCUUGUAGCGGGGGAUAACUAUUGGAAACGAUAGCUAAUACCGCAUAACAAUGGAUGACACAUGUCAUUUAUUUGAAAGGGGCAAUUGCUCCACUACAAGAUGGACCUGCGUUGUAUUAGCUAGUAGGUGAGGUAAUGGCUCACCUAGGCGACGAUACAUAGCCGACCUGAGAGGGUGAUCGGCCACACUGGGACUGGGACACGGCCCAGACUCCUACGGGAGGCAGCAGUAGAGAAUCUUCGGCAAUGGGGGCAACCCUGACCGAGCAACGCCGCGUGAGUGAAGAAGGUUUUCGGAUCGUAAAGCUCUGUUGUAAGUCAAGAACGGGUGUGAGAGUGGAAAGUUCACACUGUGGCGGUAGCUUACCAGAAAGGGACGGCUAACUAC
rnacentral:rRNA from 1 species